rnacentral:misc_RNA from 1 species
CGUAUAUUGAAUUCAAUAGAUGUGAAGCCAUAAGAAGGAGAGGGAGGAGGAGAACAAGUGGAGGAGGCAACUGGUGGCAGAUUAAAAGUACCAUCACCAUCGGCACCUUGCUUUCUCAAGCCAGCAAGAAGACGCUUUCUUGGAGGUAAGAGAACAUCGGAAUUGAGGUGAUUCACGUCACAGAUGUUGGCCUCCAUUCUUCUCCUUCCAAAUUAUAGCUUUGAACAUAAAUCGCUAAUUG